GACGUAGGAGGCGAGCGUUAUCCGGAUUUACUGGGCGUAAAGCGCAUGUAGGCGGUUCGUCAAGUCGUGUGUUAAGCCCUGGCUCAACUGGGGAGGUCAUGCGAGACUGCCGGACUUGAGGACAGUAGAGCACGUGAACUCCGGUGUAGCGUGAAUGCGUAGAGAUCGGAGAACACCGUGCGAGCGACGUGCUGGCUGUACUGACGCUGAGAUGCGAAGUGUGGGAGCAACGG
rnacentral:rRNA from 1 species